CCUACGGGGGGCAGCAGUGGGGAAUAUUGGACAAUGGGCGAAAGCCUGAUCCAGCCAUGCCGCGUGUGUGAAGAAGGCCUUCGGGUUGUAAAGCACUUUCAGUGGGGAAGAAAGCCUUGGGGCUAAUACCCUCGAGGAAGGACAUCACCCACAGAAGAAGCACCGGCUAACUCCGUGCCAGCAGCCGCGGUAAUACGGAGGGUGCGAGCGUUAAUCGGAAUUACUGGGCGUAAAGCGCGCGUAGGCGGUCUGAUAAGCCGGUUGUGAAAGCCCCGGGCUCAACCUGGGAACGGCAUCCGGAACUGUCAGGCUAGAGUGCAGGAGAGGAAGGUAGAAUUCCCGGUGUAGCGGUGAAAUGCGUAGAGAUCGGGAGGAAUACCAGUGGCGAAGGCGGCCUUCUGGACUGACACUGACGCUGAAGUGCGAAAGCGUGGGUAGCAAACAGGAUUAGAUACCCCGGUAGUC
rnacentral:rRNA from 1 species